rnacentral:sRNA from 13 species
AAUUUAAUUGGCAGCCUCGGUCUGUAAGUAGCCCAAGACAGGAAAACCAGAGAUGUUAAAAGUCAGGGCUGAAAUGCAUUGGCAGAAAAGUAUGGAAGGAGCUUAUUUAAGGACGUGCCAA